GCGGAAGUGGCUCAGCUGGUAGAGCAUCACCUUGCCAAGGUGAGGGUCGCGGGUUCAAGUCCCGUCUUCCGCUCCA
rnacentral:tRNA from 1 species